UACGUACUGGGCGAACGUUAUUCGGAAUCACUGGGCUUAAAGGGUGCGUAGGCGGCUUCCCAGGUCCGGUGUGAAAUCUUACGGCUCAACCGUAAAAUGGCGCUGGAAACCGGGAGGCUUGAGUGUGCUAGGGGUGUGUGGAACCUCCAGUGGAGCGGUGAAAUGUGUUGAUAUUGGAAGGAACGCCGGUGGCGAAAGCGACACACUGGGGCAUAACUGACGCUGAGGCACGAAAGCUAGGGUAGCGAACGGG
rnacentral:rRNA from 1 species